GGAGGUUACAGCUUAGUGGUAGAGCACAUGCUUAGCAUGCCCCAGGACCUGGGUUCAAUCCCCAGUACCUCCA
rfam:Camelus ferus unplaced genomic scaffold scaffold1703, whole genome shotgun sequence.